rnacentral:rRNA from 1 species
CAGUAGCCACGGGAAUACGUAGGUGGCAAGCGUUGUCCGGAAUUAUUGGGCGUAAAGGGCUCGCAGGCGGUUUCUUAAGUCUGAUGUGAAAGCCCCGGCUCAACCAGGGAGGGUCAUUGGAAACUGGGAAACUUGAGUGCAGAAGAGGAGAGUGGAAUUCCACGUGUAGCGGUGAAAUGCGUAGAGAUGUGGAGGAACACCAGUGGCGAAGGCGACUCUCUGGUCUGUAACUGACGCUGAGGAGCGAAAGCGUGGGGAGCGAACAGGAUUAGAUACCCCUGUAGUCCCUGUCUCUUAUACA